ensembl:lncRNA
GUUCAAUUGCGAAAACACUGGUGUGAAUGCGAACCGAACCAGUUGAAAAUAGCAACAUUGUAACAACUUUUGGGUCCAAACGAACCACUCUAGCGGACUAACAGGUGUGAAAGCACCCUAAGUUCCCCACUCUGCUGCAUCCGAGUUGGAGACGGAACAAUCACGUUGAUUCAUGAGGAGUCGGUGUAAAAUUCUGCUUUUGCAAGUCUCUUUUAACUUUAUAUCGCACCUCACCGGCUGCACGUAUCACCCUCCAUCCCAACACUGGAGCUCCCAGUAACUUUGCCAAACUUCCUGUCUUCAUACUGAGAUCCAGUAUUUUCGCCAAAUCCAAUUGUCGUUCCUCUUCUUGACAACCGUGUGAAGGGCUUUCUUUGUGAAAAUCGGGAGACGUAGCCGAGCGGUAGGCGCAUGUAGUCGGCCAUGGUGGUGACCAAACGCAUGCGCUGGUUGGCGUCGAGUGUCGCAGGGUUGAGCUGAAGGAGAAGGGUUGUCCAGGUGGUCAUUGUAAAUGUCUGAUAUAUUGUAUUAUUUUUCUCCUGCACAGUACUGUUUAUGUAUUAAGAAAACAUUGUAAUCCUGCAGUGCCACCUUGUGGUCUGUUCCACUUUUAUUUUGUUAAGCGCGCGUUUCUUCUUCUUCUGCGGUUUUUGUGAAGCCGACCUUCCUGUUUCUUUGAACAACGUUGUGCUCACGCGUCAUCGGAGAAACGCUCUGAACAGCGACGUGUGUGUGUUUAUCGAGCCUGGAGAGCAUGCUAGCUGAUGGCUAACACUUAAAUUGGCGCCCUUGGAACGACGGAAUGAGGACCUUCAUCGUGCCUCCUCCUCCUCCUCACUGUAGUGAUCGGUCACUUUGAAGCUCUCUACAUCUGGUACCUCCAACACGGGUAACUACAAUACAGACAAAGCAUAUAUUUCAGUUUUCUUUUAUCUUGUAGUGAAAGAAAAGUAUCAAGGUUACUCUAGGAGUGUUAUUUUUGUAGUAAGCUUAACUGUAGUAUUUGCUGUGUUUAUUUUAGGUUUCGUGGCAGAAGUUCAGUCAGUGCUGGUCUGCAAAUAAACCCAAGCUGCAGCAAUGCAAAAGCAGCUGUGUGAUUGAAAAACCUACUGUAG